GGGAUGACGUCAAGUCAUCAUGGCCCUUACGACCAGGGCUACACACGUGCUACAAUGGCGCAUACAAAGAGAAGCGAUCUCGCGAGAGCAAGCGGACCUCAUAAAGUGCGUCGUAGUCCGGAUUGGAGUCUGCAACUCGACUCCAUGAAGUCGGAAUCGCUAGUAAUCGUGGAUCAGAAUGCCACGGUGAAUACGUUCCCGGGCCUUGUACACACCGCCCGUCACACCAUGGGAGUGGGUUGCAAAAGAAGUAGGUAGCUUAACCUUCGGGAGGGCGCUUACCACUUUGUGAUUCAUGACUGGGGUGAAGUCGUAACAAGGUAACCGUAGGGGAACCUGCGGUUGGAUCACCUCCUUACCUUAAAGAAGC
rnacentral:rRNA from 1 species